rnacentral:rRNA from 1 species
AUGGGAAACCCUGUUGAUGCACCUAAACCCUAUCAAUGGAUAUGGAAAUCAUGCUCUUUACCAAAGCAGAAAUUCUUCUUCUGGCUCUUGUUACAAGACAGAUUAAACACUAGAGAUCUACUAAAAAGGAAGAAUUUCUACAUUGAGACUAGUAAGUGUGAAUUAUGUGAUGAUGAACCUAAUGAACAUUUAAUGCAUCUGUUUUUUAGCUGUGAUUUCAGUCAAAACUUCUGGAUGAACAUUGGCUACCAAUGGAACACUGAUCAUAACCUCAUAGAAAUGCUCCUAGAGGGAAGGAAGCAAGAUACACAUGGAUGCUUUAAAGAAUGUCUGAUUGCUGGAUGCCGGAGUCUAUGGAAACACAGAAAUAGCAUAAUUUUUGACAACAAGGUCAAAAAUAUGACAUUCUGUAUUGCCACUUUCAAGGAGCACUCUUGCAUGAUUAUAAAGAAGGCAAAACCAGGAUUGAAAGAGGGCAUGCAAAGUUGGCUAGAUCAUUUGUAG